UGCCGCAGGCCCCGCCUUCCCCGCGCCUACUCGCUCCUCUCCCGCGGGUGCCAGCAAGGACCCGCCCCUUCACAGCCGGCUCGCCUGGAGUGACUAAUCUGCUCUGCUGCGCGCCUCCCACAGGGAGCUCUGGGACAGGAGGGUCCAUGGAAGGCCAGAGACACACUCCUGGGCAGCAAGCAUGGGGGUGAGGCAAGUUAUUAUCUGCUGUUUGCCUUCAGGGUCUCAUGAUCUCUUUUCUUAGGGGUCAGCUGCACACCAGCCCUCUGGAUCAUUGAUGUCCCUAUCCUGACCCUUGCCCAACCUGAGCACAUAGUAUGCAACCUCAGAAGAGCCUGUGGCUAAACAGGACUGCAGUGCCCUGAAGCUGAUACAUCACUUGAACCUGCACAGACACUGGACUAAGGUAUAGGGAGAGUGGGAGGCGCAGGCAACAUCGCUGAGCCCGGAAGCCCCCAGGACACAGCCAGAGCUGGACCAGAAGCUUCAAGACUUCUAAGAGGGUCUUCAGAAGCCGUGAACACAGGAGCCCAGUGACAGACAGCCUCCUGCCACCAACCACUUUGCACAGAUGUCCUUUGCUGUCUGGACAGCCACAGCUCCUGGUCCUACUUCUCAGCUCCAGGGAUGAUGAUGCCCGGUUACCCUGGCCGACUCCAGGUCUGUACUCUGAGUUGAAACCGGGGGCCCAGAGCAGUCAUUUGGCAUAGAUCUGAAGAGAAAGGGGUGAGCCCCUCCACAGCCCCUUCUAAUCACCUGGCCUCACUUUUCCCUCUGUGGCAGUGGGGGGGGGGGCAAAGCCGGAGUCCUUCCUGGGUGUCAGUAUGGGGCAGGAGAAGGGAGGAGACCCCACCUCCAGUCCGCAGGACUAGGCUCUGUGGGCUUCAUAAGCCCCUGUAUACUGACUCUGAAGGCCUCCCAAGCUCAGGCUGAGCCGACAUGUGAAUGAGCCACCGGCAGGAGGGAGGCCACCUGGCCCUCCCACCAGCCUUCUGCUGGCUGAAUGACUUCCAGUCACCCCCACUGCCAGUCUCUGGACCCAGUAGGGCUGGGCGAUGAUGGUCUCAGGAGCUGAGGGUUGAGGGUUCUAAUCUCCCCCAGGGCACAUGAAUACACAGCAGUUUGGAGGCUGAGACCGAAGGAGAACAUCAAGGUCGGGGAAAGACUGAGGGAGAUGACAGGGAAGCAGAAAAAGAUGGAGAAUCCAAGACAGGGCUGCUGUUCAAUUUCUCACAGGGGAGUUCUCACUUGGUUUCCAUAGGGGCCCUGUGAGGUGGGAGAUCUGCCUCAGACCACUGAGCUAGCCACCAACAGAGGCAGGCUAGGGUACAGAGGCGGAGGAGCAGGACUGGAGCCCUGAGAGUCUGAGGUGCUCUCCCCCCAGGGCUCAGAGUCCUCCUCCCCUCCCUUCCCAGCAGCCUUCCUUCCUGAGCCACGGGAACAUGUUCUCUCUGCACCCACCCCUCCCCUUCCUUCCUUCCUUCCUCUUCCGUCUGGCAAGCCUUGUGCUACAUCCUUGUCCCUGGAACAGGCAAGGCAGCCUGUUCGUUCAGGGCCCCCACACACCAGACCCUCCUCCCUCCUGUCUCCUCCCUCCUCCUGCCUGCCUCCUGCCUCAACACCUCCAGUCCAGCCUCUAAGGAAGCCUGGUAUUUUUCCAUGGAUCCUAUACAGCCUCCAUGCUCCAUGAGCCCCAGGCAUUUCCCACUGCCCACCUGGCAGUGGACAAGGACACAGGUUUGUGGGAGUCUGUCCUCAAGAGACCUACGUUCCUCACUGAACCCAGUCAUUAUUCAUAAGGAAGACUGAGGUCCAGAGAGAGCCAGACACCUACGCAAGCCACACAACAAUGGAGGUUGCCAGAAGAAGGGUAGGAAUUGGGUUGGCGGUCUGAGGGAGACCUCUAGUUUCCUAGAGUCAUUAUGUAGGACACUUCCUUGUGCUAUGUGAUCAUGGGUAAGUCUCCCUGAGUCCCUACCCCUUCCCUUGCCUCAGUUUCCCCACUGGUGGUCCUCUUCUAGAUUGGCCACUGCCCUCUGCAACUUGUCAGCAAGGUGGCCUUGCUCAGAGCCUCGGAACUUGGCAAAGAGUGCCCAGUACUCCCUUCCUGGGGGUUCUUAGUGCAGGGAGCAGGUCGGCCCCUCUAAUGGUCAUCGCUCAAGCUAGGACAGUCUAGAACAAGGUAGGAGAGGCCACAUGGGCAUUGUGGGUACAGAUCUUGGGACUCACAUGCUAGGAGGCAAGUUUAAGGGUAGAAACAAGGGACGGAGCAUAGACCUGGGGAAGCCCUUUGGGUUCUUUGUUGGGCAGCCCGCCUGAGCCUGGCCUGAGAGCCGUGGACAGGAACUCUCCUCUUGCGACUUCCUGAGGCCAUGUGUGACCUCAUGCCGCUCAUUCAGGCCCUCAGUCUCAACCAUAUAACAGGCAGACUGCACUAAGUGGCCACUAGGGUUCCUCUUCGAGGCCAAGAGAGAGAGCUGAGUGGCCCUGUGGCUAUGAGGCUCCUGUGUCCACCCAACUGCCCGCUCCCUUGCUCAGUUGACAAAUGCCAAGCCCAGUGUUAAAACGAGAAAGACGUGACUCCCUGUGCCUCUAGGAAAGGGUCCCCAGGCCCAGGAAAUGCCGAGUCUGGUGACUUGGCCUGUCCUGUGUGCAUCCCCACAGAGCCCCUAAGCAUGAGUGGCCAAUCUUGGUGUUCAUGCAGGUCCGGCAGUGUGUUUUGCUCGAAACCAAAUGUGUCCCAGUCACAGCACCCUUUUGGUUUUCCUGGCAUACCUGCAUGCAUGCCAGAACUGGGUGACUCUGGGUUCUGCCUGGGCAAUGGUGCUCAGGGGCCCCCAAGUAGGCAGGGGCUAACAGCCAGAAAUAAAGAGGGACUGCCAGGUGAAUGGGGCAGCACCCUGGGCCAAGGGCAGCAACGUAGCCCAGUGGGUUCUGUCCACAGGAGGCCGAAUGUGAAGGGUAGCCAAGACCAGGUAUCAGGGCGAGUCAGGUCUCCCUCAUGCUGGCGAAGAUAUCAACCUUGGGCCAAGGGUUAAUGUGGCCGGGACCUCUUCAACCUAGGGAGGACAAGAGGGUAGAGGAUGGAAAGAGGCCAGAUGUGGGGAAAUGACUUGGGGUUGAUGUCCCCGUUGUGUGAGCUGUCCCUGCUGUGGAGAGAAGGUCCAGGAACUACGGCUACCCCGAGAGAGGCAGGAAUAAAGACUACCAAGGUUCCCUUAUAUCCAGGUAGCCAGGACCGAGCUGGGGAGCAGGGGCAGAGUUACGGCCCAGGAAUCAGCCGGAGGCAUGGGAGGCUGGGCUGAGGUGGGAGUUUGGCAGCCACCCUCAAUCUCUGCUCCACUGGGGCCCUAGCCAGGCUGAGUGCCCACCCACUGCCUCCUUGUGUGCCCACUGGGCUGGAUCAUGAAGGAGCAGCAGCUCUCCAUCAGGUUGGGGGGGGGGUGCUGCCAGCUGGCCCAUGCAGACACCCCCCAGAGCUGGGAGUUCAGAUGCCCAUGCCAG